rnacentral:rRNA from 1 species
GACGAACGCUGGCGGCGUGCUUAACACAUGCAAGUCGAACGGAAAGGCCCUGCUUUUGUGGGGUGCUCGGGUGGCGAACGGGUGAGUAACACGAGAGUAACCUGCCCUUGACUUUGGGAUAACUUCAGGAAACUGGGGCUAAUACCGGAUAGGAGCUCCUGCUGCAUGGUGGGGGUUGGAAAGUUUCGGCGGUUGGGGAUGGACUCGCGGCUUAUCAGCUUGUUGGUGGGGUAGUGGCUUACCAAGGCUUUGACGGGUAGCCGGCCUGAGAGGGUGGCCGGCCACAUUGGGACUGAGAUGCGGCCCAGACUCCUACGGGAGGCAGCAGUGGGGAAUAUUGCACUAUGGGCGGACGCCUGAUGCAGCAACGCCGCGUGCGGGAUGACGGCCUUCGGGUUGUAAACCGCUUUCGCCUGUGACGAAGCGUGAGUGACGGUAAUGGGUAAAGAAGCACCGGCUAACUACGUG